GGAAUGUGUCUGCUGACUUUGAGGUACAGGGUCAAAGUUUACUCAAUGAUGAGUCCGUGGCGAACCAUUUGCGAACCGUUCGGCGAACCGUUCGGGACAUCACUAGUGACCAAUAGCUGAAAUCAGUUUUAUUAAAAAAAUACAGAUUUUCUCUUGUUUAUUGCAUUGCUUUGUAUCCACAUAUAAAACUUCGAGGCGAAAAACAUUGCAAAAAAAUACUAGUUUUCCUUAGAUGUUGAUUAAAAAUUCUUAUAGAAAUCCAGAGUCGGUAAUCUCCAAAAAAGACAAACGGAUAUGUAAUUAAUGUCAAAUUGGUGCUGAAAAUGUAGUUGAAUAUAUGUUACAUUCACAGACUAGAAAGAAACAUCUUAUGAAAGAGUGAAUGUCUCGUCAAGGCAAAUUUUUGUGGUGUGCUGGGGUAAAGUCAUUUUUUAAGAACUAUUCAGAUUUCUAAAUUUAUAUUGGUCAAAACCAUUUUAUUUAUUUAGUAACAUUUAUCUACUGUGAAAAUCACCAUUUAAAUUGGUAGUCUUUAGUAAAAUUAUUAAGUGAAGAGAUGUCGGGAAGGUAUUCCACCACCGUUAGCGCAAGAAGGCUUGCGGUAUUCAAUGAAUUUGUUAGGUUUACCAUCAGAUAAGGACUCCAAUUAUCAAUACCAAAAAAACGAACUAUUAUUAUAUCUGGAAUACGCGUACUUGCAGUUUCCCCCUUGUACAUUGACCUCUGAACCCCAGUUAAUGUCAAUUCAAGGCCUGAAGAAUCAUUUAACAUUUGUAUUUACAAAUAGCAUGUUCAAAAAUAUUUUUAAAAUCCUUAUUCUAUAAGGACUCUCAGAGGAUAUCUUGUGCUAGUUUGGGAGACUCUGCAGUGGCCCAUUAAUCUUGCCAGUGAGUGUCACAUUGAGUCUACAAUUGCAUGAUAAACCAUAGCUCUCUCACAUGUUUUGUUUCUUCUUAUACUGUGUUUCAAAUGUGCCUACUGAUCACUGACCAAAACAAAAAGGUAAAUACUUUUUGGUUGUUGUUUAUUUUUUAUAAAUAAAACAAAAAAAACUUUUAUAUGGUG